UACAGAGGUCACGAACGUUGUCCGGAAUUAUUGGGCGUAAAGAGCUCGUAGGCGGUUUGUUGCGUCGGGAGUGAAAACUUACAGCUUAACUGUGAGCGUGCUUCCGAUACGGGCAGACUUGAGGUAUUCAGGGGAGAACGGAAUUCCUGGUGUAGCGGUGAAAUGCGCAGAUAUCAGGAGGAACACCGGUGGCGAAGGCGGUUCUCUGGGAAUAUCCUGACGCUGAGGAGCGAAAGUGUGGGGAGCGAACAGG
rnacentral:rRNA from 1 species